AAACACAACGCCAAUAGUCGAGACGUUUCUCCUCCUCUCGCGACGCAACAAAGGAGCUUCGAGAACCCUGCCAAAUUCCUCGCCGCCGGCUCCUCGCCUCUCUUUCCCGGCGACCGCAGUAGUUGAGUGGAGCGGGCAAGGAUCCCUCCUGUUGUAUAGCUAUGGUUGUAGUUAGGGGAUCUUAGCAAAUCGGAAUUGGCUUUGAGCUUGCCCCAGUAUCUCUCCUUCUAGAUCUGACCAUGUAGCCCGGCCAUCGGAGAUGGAGACAUGGCGGUGGUUGCUUGGCAUGCCAAGUUUCUUUACACUGCCAUCCCGCACGAAGUCUAGGCUGCCGUUGUCAAGGACAUCGAGCUGCGGGCCGUCCAUGCCGCUCUCAGCUGGCGCGGCGUGCCCAAUGCCGGUGCCGAUGUGUACGCCAAUAUCUGCCUCCCGGCGGCCGCGUACCCCGCGCUCACCGAAAGCAGCGGCUUCCGCCACAGACGAGGAGUCGAGAACUCAAGUGUUUAUUCUGAUGAGCAGGACAUGCUCUGAACUCCGAGCGUUGGUGUGUGUCGCCGAGGAGUCUUCCUUGGCGACGAUUCCGCGGCUGUUGCCAUGCUCUGCCUGCACGCUUUGCGCCGCAAUUUCGUUUGCCAGGAGGUGCGCACACCUAUAUUUCAUCCCCAAUAUUGCGUGUGUGAUAUGUUUAUCGAUCAACUUCGGGUCUCCUGUAGUUUAAUAAUCUCUUUUAAGAGAUAUAGGCUAAUCAAAUAGAUUUAAAAUAAUUGUAAUCAGUCACUAGGGCAUUAUCUGAUGGGAAAACAAUUGUUUGAAGAGGCUUUGGCAGUCUGCUGUCACAAGGUAAUGCAAAAGUGAUUUCGUAAGAGAAUUGGAGGUGAUGGCCAGGUUCUGGCAUGGCAACCUUCUUCGCCUCCAUGCUUACUGCAAUGAAGGCGACGGGCGGAUACUGAUGUACUGCAUGCUACAUGUCAGAACAAUAGCAUGGGUCUCAACAUAUUUGGUACAUAUACAGAUAUACUCAUAUAAUUUGUCCUGCCUAUGAUCAAGUUCUUUUCUGCAAUUGUUGGUCACUAUUGUUCUGUGAUCCAAUACAUAAGUAGUAAGUUGCGUGUACAUAAAGUUCUGGAUAAUAGAACUGCAAAUUUGGACAAUAUACCUUUAGAGGAAGCUUGUAUCUCGACAUGCUUGUCAUAUGAAAGCUCAUGGAUGAGGAAUUUCCUCUUCGUAUUAUCUGCGGGAUGAACUCCAAAAUUUUGUGGAACUAGCAUUUCUAAUAGUACAAAGCUGCUACCUUACUGCCAGUAUUUAGGUGGAUGGUCUCUGUUUUAAAUUCCUAAUACAAGUAAUGCACUUCAAGAAGUUCUAUUUAUCUCGUGUCCUUGCUGCCAAUAGCUGAUUUGGUUUCAUCGUGAGCACCCAAGUACUGCAGCUCUAUUGCCAUUCAUGGUUGUUGGCCUAUCAAUGGUUAUUGUAUUUGGUAGAAAUGGGCUAGGGAUGUUCUGGAUGUGAUGAGAAAAUAUGUUCUACGGUGGAGAUCUGUGAGUUGGGAGCCGUGAGUUGAGUGAUGGGCGGAGACGAUAUAGCAAAAGGAAGGCCAGCCCAACUCCAUUGCAACUUUUACAAAGAAAUGGUCUACAAAGAAGUUCUCGGCGUGUAGUACAAGGUGAGCAGAUAGAUGAAGCGAAAACCCCAGGACUAAUAUUGUUGGCACAUAUGUCUUGAGCAAACAAGUAAAAGAAGGGUAUACUAUGCUUGACAAGUGAUUCCAUGGCCUGAUAGAUGCCUAAGGUAUGAAAUUAAUUAAGUGGAACUAGCUGUGUGAGUUAUGUCUGGAAUAUUUCUUCUCAUGGUAGUGGCAUUGUUAUACAGAUUCAUUUUGCUUGUGCAUAUUUAGCAAAGCAUUCAAUUGAACACUUCUACUUCAUUCUUGUUUGUCCUGGAACCAUAUAUAAGUGUGCGCUCAAGCUAUAGUAUGUAUGUUAUUUGAAUAUAUUAUUUUCUAUCAUUUGUCUUCACAUUUAAGUUUGGUGCGCCUAAUAUACUGGCAUGGAAUGAGAAAUGUUGACUUCCUGGAUGAACUGUAACAAAAUAGCUUGUUUGCUUUCUACAACCUUUCCAAGAGAAGAAGAAGUUUUGUUGCAGUAGUUCUAAUGCUGGACAUGAUGAUAUGUAUUGGAGAUCUCUGGCCGUGCUGGACUGCUGGUGAUUUGGGAGAUCUGGUGUGAGCGCAGUCGCCGCAUCUUACACAAUUCAGUGUUAUCAGCUGUGACCCUUGCAUGCCUUGCAAUUAACGAAGCCAAUCUUGGAAGGACGCUGAUGCGUGUCACAUCAUUUUGCAUAGUAGUCUAGCUUAGUGAGCCCUAAUCAUUCUGUUUGCACUUUUAUAUACUCUCCUAUGCAUGCAAGUUUUGGAUCAAGUGUUUUUAUUCUCGGUGUGAUAUGUUUGUGUGACUAUAAUACACUUAGCAAACUAUAUAUUUCAGUUAUGUUUUUUGUUGCA